UCCAAGGGAAAUGUCAGGACUCAGAAAACACUAAGUUCCAGCCUCAGAACAGUUAAUCAGACAUUCCACUGCCUUUCUGUGGAAAGCACAGUCACAGAGCAGCCUCUGUCCUAACCAACAUUCCUAAGAGAAGUUCCUAAAACCUUCCUUCCAGAGGAGUCCGACGCCAUAUCCAGGGGGAAGAAAUGGUACACAGGGAGGCCAAGAGAACUCGAAGGGCACAGACCAUGCUGUGUUCCUCAUGCUCAUGCGCAUAGACGACAGCCUUUUAUUCAGUCAUGUAACAUUACAGCUAUCCACUUCUUUAUCAAGCAGCAGUUCUUGAGGUCUUCAUCUCCAAAGGCUCCCACAACAGGAAGAGAGAUGCAGGAAAGUCCACACUGAACAAACUAAGCCUCCAAACAGGAGCUCUAGGAGACAGCCUUCUUGGAUGAGAAUCCUCAGGCCUGCCGUAGCCUUCAUAUAACUUCCGCCUUCAACAACAUGUUGACAACACUCAAGAGACUGACCCAGAGCUACUGGCUGACUCUUGGCUUCAUAGACUGCACGAGAGAAUAAAUGUUGGCUGUUCCAAGA